rnacentral:rRNA from 1 species
GACGAACGCUGGCGGCGUGCUUAACACAUGCAAGUCGAACGGAAAGGCCCUGCUUUUGUGGGGUGCUCGAUUGGCGAACGGGUGAGUAACACGUGAGUAUCCUGCCCUUUUCUUUGGGAUAACUUCAGGAAACUGGGGCUAAUACCUGAUAUGAUCUCCUGCUGCAUGGUGGGGGUUGGAAAGUUUCGGCGGUUGGGGAUGGACUCGCGGCUUAUCAGCUUGUUGGUGUGGUAGUGGCUUACCAAGGCUUUGACGGGUAGCCGGCCUGAGAGGGUGACCGGCGACAUUGGGACUGAGAUACGGACCAGAGGCCUACGGGAGGCAGCAGUGGGGAAUAUUGCACAAUGGGAGGAAGCCUGAUGCAGAAACGCCGCGUGCGGGAUGACGGCCUUCGGGUUGUAAACCGCUUUCGCAUGUGACGAAGCGUGAGUGACGGUAAUGGGUAAAGAAGCACCGGCUAACUACGUG